rnacentral:rRNA from 1 species
CAGGCCUUGACAUCCCCCUGAAUGAUGGGUAAUGCCAUCAGCCCUUUUUGGGCAGGGGAGACAGGUGGUGCAUGGUUGUCGUCAGCUCGUGUCGUGAGAUGUUGGGUUAAGUCCCGCAACGAGCGCAACCCCUGUCCUUAGUAGCCAGCACAUUAAGGUGGGCACUCUAGGGAGACAGCCGGGGACAACCCGGAGGAAGGCGGGGAUGACGUCAAAUCAUCAUGCCCCUUAUGGCCUGGGCUACACACGUGCUACAAUGGCGCCUACAAAGUGAAGCAAGCGAGUGAUCGUAAGCAAAACACAGAAAAGGCGUCCCAGUUCGGAUUGUAGUCUGCAACCCGGCUACAUGAAGCUGGAAUCGCUAGUAAUCGCGGAUCAGAAUGCCGCGGUGAAUACGUUCCC